CAGGAGCCUUGGUGUUCAACUUGCUGCGAGAGCCGGAGCUCAGAUGCACCCCCUAACCGUGAGAGCAUGUUAAUGACUGCCACUGGCAACCUGCAUCUUCCUGGGUAAAUGCAUCACCAAGCUGCAGGCACAGCAAAACCUGAGAGGCCAAAGGCCCUUUGACUCAUCACACCCAAGAUGUCAGUGUGACAGUGUCUGAGGAAAGGGGCUGAUGCCUCAAGCUCCCUCUCCUAGGUUGGUUCCUCCAGACCUUAGGAAAGAUCCCCCUCUAUCUCAUAUUCUUGACUGGCCAGAAAAAUUUCACAUGAAAGUUCAGCAGGUAUCUAACUAGACCAAUUUUUAAAAAUUCAUCUACCCAGUUGCUUCCCUAGAGCACAAGGUAUGUCCAGAACCACUAUUCCUUUGACCACCUGACUGUGUACAGGAGAUGGCACCUUGACUUACUCUCUUUCUAUUCCUUGUGCUUAUUUUAUUUUAUCAGUCUCAUUGUCUUUGCCACUGAACCUUGAUCAAGGACACCUUGACAGGUUUCAAGAACUUUGAAACUCCUGGAUAAGGGUUGAAGGUCUCAUCCAGUUAAUGUCUGAAAGUUUGUAUCCAUGCUCCUCCCAAAUUCCUCUGUUGAAUUCCAAACCACCCACUUGUUGGUAGGGUGGGACUUUUAGGGAGAUAAUUUGAUCAUGAAAUGAGAACCCUCAUAAUUGAGAUUAGUGUCUGUAUGAGUCCAUUUUCUAUUGCUAUAACAAAACACCUGAGGCUGGGUAAUGGAUAAAGAAAAGAGGUUUAUUUAGCUCACAGUUUUUGAGGCAUGGUGCCUGUUCUGGUAAGUACUUCAUGGCAUAUAAUAUCAUGAUGGGAAUGUAUGCCAGAGGGAGAGAUCACAUGGUGAAUCAGGAAGCCAGAGACCAGGGAGAGUCCAGUCUUGCUCUUUUACAAUGACCUACUCUGUUGAGAAAUAGCACAGUAUAUGAAAAUUACAUUAAUUCUUGCCAAGGGUAGUUUUUCUCAAUGACAUAAUUAUCUUCCAUGAGGUUCUACCUCUUUAAGGUUCCACUAUCUUCCAACAUCACCACACCAAGGACCAAGAUUCCAAACACACAGUUUGUUGGUGGAGGCACAAUCAGACCACAUCCCUGCAUCCUGGUGCCCUUAUUAAAGAAGCUGUCGAGAGCUGCCUCACCCCUUUCUUCCGUGCCAGGACAGAGCAAGAAGGCGUUUUCUAUAAAUCAGGAAAUGGGCCCCCAGUCAAAGGUCAAACCUGGAGUCUUGAUCUUAGAUUCCCAGCCUCUAGAACUGAGAGAAAAAAAAAUACAUUUCUGCUGUUUAUCAUUUUUGUGGUGUUUUGUUAUAAAGCCCCAAAGGACUAAGAUACAUCACUUUACCUUAAAGCUCAUAGUCUCAUACAAAUUUACCCACUUCUCCCUACCUCGGAAUGUCAACAGUUUAUUUAUCAGGAAAAAGUAAAGUUCUGCCUUACCAGACACCUUGCUACACUCCUAUUUUAAAGUCUUUACUUUGAUUGAAAAUUGUUUUUAUGGAUUAUCAGUAGUGAGGGAAUGUUCUGAGAGCUGUCAACAAAGUGUCAGGGCGAAUGACUGAAAAGCAAUAUCAUUUCCUUGUGACCUUUAUUUGAUUGUGCAUUUGAACAACUCUACUUUCUCAAGAGAAGGUAAAGAGGCAAAAUAUUUUUCAGGAAGAGGAAACAUCUUUAUCUAUUACAAAUAUUUAUUGAAUCCUGCUAUGGUAUUUUGAGUCUAUUUUAAAGUAGUUG
rnacentral:lncRNA from 1 species